GACGAACGCUGGCGGCGUGCUUAACACAUGCAAGUCGAACGGAAAGGCCCUGCUUUUGUGGGGUGCUCGAGUGGCGAACGGGUGAGUAACACGGGAGUAACCUCCCCUUGACUUUGGGAUAACUCCAGGAAACUGGGGCUAUAACCGGAUAGGAUCUCCUGCUCCAUGUGGGGGGUUGGAAAGUUUCGGCGGUUGGGGAUGGACUCGCGGCUUAUCAGCUGGUUGGUGGGGUAGUGGCUUACCAAGGCUUUGACGGGUAGCCGGCCUGAGAGGGUGACCGGCCACAUUGGGACUGAGAUACGGCCCAGACUCCUACGGGAGGCAGCAGUGGGGAAUAUUGCACAAUGGGCGGAAGCCUGAUGCAGCAACGCCGCGUGCGGGAUGACGGCCUUCGGGUUGUAAACCGCUUUCGCCUGUGACGAAGCGUGAGUGACGGUAAUGGGUAAAGAAGCACCGGCUAACUACGUG
rnacentral:rRNA from 1 species